rnacentral:lncRNA from 1 species
UUGAAAGUGUAUUUUUUUGGCAGGACCAAAGUACACAUCGGCACAGUAUUACUUUUUUCUUUGACAUAUUAGCUAUAUGUAUGCCAAAUUUCAUGUCACGACUAUAAAACAUAAAACUAUAAAACACGACCAGUCUUAAUUAAUAACUCAACAAUAACUACUGUAAAGUACAUAACAUAACACAAAAUAAUAUUAUCUUAAAAACCAACACGCUAAAAAAUACAAUUUGAAUUUGCAGAUGCAGACUGAGAAGUUAGGACCUGUAAAAUGAGAAACCGCCUCGUUUCGGGCGAUAAAUUAUAUUUAAUAGCUUCUUGACGAAUGAGUGGACGAAUCGUUAACACGUGCAUUUGUUUAUGUUGGGAAUUUGCUAUGUGAAUGUGGUGUAGGCUUCCUCAUGACU